UACGGGGGGGGCAAGCGUUGUCCGGAAUCACUGGGCGUAAAGGGCGCGUAGGUGGCGCGACAAGUCAGUGGUGAAAGCUCGGCGCUUAACGCCGAGUCGGCCACUGAUACUGUUGGGCUUGAGCACUGUAGAGGCUAAUGGAAUUCCGGGUGUAGCGGUGGAAUGCGUAGAGAUCCGGAAGAACACCGGUGGCGAAGGCGGUUAGCUGGGCAGUUGCUGACACUGAGGCGCGACAGCGUGGGGAGCAAACAGG
rnacentral:rRNA from 1 species